GUGCCAGCAGCCGCGGUAAUACGAAGGGGGCUAGCGUUGCUCGGAAUCACUGGGCGUAAAGCGCACGUAGGCGGCUUCUUAAGUCAGGGGUGAAAUCCUGGAGCUCAACUCCAGAACUGCCUUUGAUACUGAGGAGCUUGAGUCCGGGAGAGGUGAGUGGAAUUCCGAGUGUAGAGGUGAAAUUCGUAGAUAUUCGGAGGAACACCAGUGGCGAAGGCGGCUCACUGGCCCGGUACUGACGCUGAGGUGCAAAAGCGUGGGGAGCAAACAGGAUUAGAUACCCUGGUAGUCCACGCCGUAAACGAUGGAUGUUAGCCGUUGGCGGGUUUACUCGUCAGUGGCGCAGCUAACGCAUUAAGUUCUCCGCCUGGGAAGUACGGGCGCAAGACUAAAACUCAAAGGAAUUGACGG
rnacentral:rRNA from 1 species